rnacentral:ribozyme from 12 species
GAAAAUAAAAAAAGGAGGAAUACAAGUUCAAAUGAAUCAAUUGUUGUGUUCUGCACGUACUUUUCCUGUUUUUUUUUUUUUUUUUUUUUUUU